rnacentral:misc_RNA from 1 species
GUGAUAGAAGGCGGGUCUGAGUGAACAGGUGAUGGUGCUGUUUUAGUGGGCAUGAAACUAGGCAUCUCUUCAGGUAGUUGUGGUAAUUGUGCUUCAACUUUAAGGACCUGAGGAGCUUCUCUUGCCGACGGUCUUUGUUUAUCAAUUGGAAGAGCACACCACAAUCCAAGAAUCAAUAUGCGUUCCAUCUCUUGCCCAUCAAAAUCCAUAUCUAAUCUCUCAUCGGCUGCAUCAAGAAUCUUCCCAGCUCCAUAGAGCUCCCAAACCCACUCCACGAGACCCAUAUGAGAGUCCUCAUAUUUACAUUUCCUCUUUCCAGUAGCAACUUCCAAGACCUCAAUUCCAAAGCUAUAUUUAUCUGAUGCUUCACUAGCCUUGCCUAGAUGGUAAUAUUCAGGUGCUAUAUAGCCAAAAGUGCCACCAACCUUUGUGGUUUGAUGCCUUAAAUUAGGGUCUCAAAUCAUAGAUACCCCAAAAUCAGCAAGCUUGGCAUUGAAAUUGAAGUCUAGCAUCACAUUAGCUGACUUGAUAUCUCUAUGCAAUAAACGUCGCCCUGAUUCUUCAUGAAGUUACAGCAAAGCAAAUGCCAAUUUAAGAAAUAUGUUCGAUCUCACAUUCCAUGGAAGAUGCGUGCCAUUUCCGAAAAGAUGUUUGUCUAGGCUUCUUUAUGCAUGUAAUCAUAGACAAUUAAG